rnacentral:ncRNA from 22 species
GUCGGCGUCGUCACGGUCCAGCCGCAAGCCGUGCCCGUCGUCACCGAACUGCCGGGCCGCACCAGUGCGUUCCUCGUUGCGCAAGUGCGCGCGCGGGUGGACGGCAUCGUGCUGCGCCGGGAAUUUACGGAAGGCACGCAGGUCAAGGCCGGCCAGCGUCUGUACAAGAUCGA